GACGAACGCUGGCGGCGUGCUUAACACAUGCAAGUCGAACGGAAAGGCCCUGCUUUUGUGGGGUGCUCGAGUGGCGAACGGGUGAGUAACACGUGAGUAACCUGCCCUUGACUUUGGGAUAACUUCAGGAAACUGGGGCUAAUACCGGAUAGGAGCUCCUGCUGCAUGGUGGGGGUUGGAAAGUUUCGGCGGUUGGGGAUGGACUCGCGGCUUAUCAGCUUGUUGGUGGGGUAGUGGCUUACCAAGGCUUUGACGGGUAGCCGGCCUGAGAGGGUGACCGGCCACAUUGGGACUGAGAUACGGCCCAGAGUCCUACGGGAGGCAGCAGUGGGGAAUAUUGCACAAUGGGCGGAAGCCUGAUGCAGCAACGCCGCGUGCGGGAUGACGGCCUUCGGGGUGUAAACCGCGUUCGCCUGUGACGAAGCGUGAGUGACGGUAAUGGGUAAAGAAGCACCGGCUAACUACGUG
rnacentral:rRNA from 1 species